UCGGGAAUAUUGCGCAAUGGAGGAAACUCUGACGCAGUGACGCCGCGUAUAGGAAGAAGGUUUUCGGAUUGUAAACUAUUGUCGUUAGGGAAGAAAAAAAUGACAGUACCUAAGGAGGAAGCUCCGGCUAACUACGUGCCAGCAGCCGCGGUAAUACGUAGGGAGCAAGCGUUAUCCGGAUUUAUUGGGUGUAAAGGGUGCGUAGACGGGCGAUCAAGUUAGUUGUGAAAUCCCUCGGCUCAACUGAGGAACUGCAACUAAAACUGGUUGUCUUGAGUGCAGGAGAGGUAAGUGGAAUUCCUAGUGUAGCGGUGAAAUGCGUAGAUAUUAGGAGGAACACCAGUGGCGAAGGCGACUUACUGGACUGUAACUGACGUUGAGGCACGAAAGUGUGGGGAGCAAACAGGAUUAGAUACC
rnacentral:rRNA from 1 species